UACGGAGGGUGCAAGCAUUAAUCGGAUUUAUUGGGCGUAAAGGGCGCGUAGGCGGAGAUGUAAGUCAGAUGUGAAAUCCCGGGGCUCACCCCCGGAACAGCAUAUGAAACUACAUUCCUUGAGGGUAGGCGGAGAAAACGGAAUUCCACAAGUAGCGGUGAAAUGCGUAGAUAUGUGGAAGAACACCAGUGGCGAAGGCGGUUUUCUAGCUUAUACCUGACGCUGAGGCGCGAGAGCAAGGGGAUCAAAC
rnacentral:rRNA from 1 species